GAUGAAGAACGCAGCGAAAUGCGAUACGUAAUGUGAAUUGCAGAAUUCAGUGAAUCAUCGAAUCUUUGAACGCAUAUUGCGCUCUUUGGUAUUCCGAAGAGCAUGCUUGUUUGAGUAUCAGUAAACACCUCAAAGCUUUUGGAUUUUUUAAUCGAAAAGCUUUGGACUUGAGCAAUCCCAACACCAAUCUUUUUGAGAUCGGUGGCGGGUUGCUUGAAAUGCAGGUGCAGCUGGACAUUCUCCUGAGCUAAAAGCAUAUUCAUUUAGUCCCGUCCAACGGAUUAUUACUUUUGCUGCAGCUAACAUAAAGGGAGUUUGACCGUAUUGGCUGACUGAUGCAGGAUUUCACAAGGGUCGGCAACGAUUCUUGUUAAACUCGAUCUCAAAUCAAGUAAGACUACCCGCUGAACUUAAGCAUAUCAAUAAGCGGAGGA
rnacentral:misc_RNA from 1 species